CGUAGGGUGCGAGCGUUAAUCGGAAUUACUGGGCGUAAAGCGUGCGCAGGCGGUUUGUAAGCCAGAUGUGAAAUCCCCGGGCUUAACCUGGGAAUGGCAUUUGGACUGCAAGGCUUGAGUGCGGCAGAGGAGACUGGAAUUCCUGGUGUAGCAGUGAAAUGCGUAGAUAUCAGGAGGAAUACCGAUGGCGAAGGCAGGUCUCUGGGCUGACACUGACGCUCAUGCACGAAAGCGUGGGGAGCAAACAGGAUUAGAUACCCUGGUAGUCCACGCCCUAAACGAUGUCGACUGGUUGUUGGGGGUUUGACACUCUCAGUAAGGAAGCUAACGCGUGAAGUCGACCGCCUGGGGAGUACGGCCGCAAGGUUA
rnacentral:rRNA from 1 species